rnacentral:rRNA from 1 species
AUGAACGCUGGCGGCGUGCCUCAUACAUGCAAGUCGAGCGAACAGACGAGGAGCUUGCUCCUCUGACGUUAGCGGCGGACGGGUGAGUAACACGUGGAUAACCUACCUAUAAGACUGGGAUAACUUCGGGAAACCGGAGCUAAUACCGGAUAAUAUAUUGAACCGCCUGGUUCAAUAGUGAAAGACGGUUUUGCUGUCACUUAUAGAUGGAUCCGCGCCGCAUUAGCUAGUUGGUAAGGUAACGGCUUACCAAGGCAACGAUGCGUAGCCGACCUGAGAGGGUGAUCGGCCACACUGGAACUGAGACACGGUCCAGACUCCUACGGGAGGCAGCAGUAGGGAAUCUUCCGCAAUGGGCGAAAGCCUGACGGAGCAACGCCGCGUGAGUGAUGAAGGUCUUCGGAUCGUAAAACUCUGUUAUUAGGGAAGAACAAAUGUGUAAGUAACUAUGCACGUCUUGACGGUACCUAAUCAGAAAGCCACGGCUAACUACGUG